CACAUGACUCUCGGCAACGGAUAUCUUGGCUCUCGCAUCGAUGAGAACGCAGCCAAAAUGCGAUACCUGGUGUGAAUUGCAGAAUCCCGUGAACCAUCGAGUUUUUGAACGCAAGUUGCGCCCGAGGCCUUUUGGUCGAGGGCACGUCUGCCUGGGCGUCACGU
rnacentral:rRNA from 1 species